rnacentral:rRNA from 1 species
CCAGACUCCUACGGGAGGCAGCAGUGAGGAAUAUUGGUCAAUGGUCGGGAGACUGAACCAGCCAAGCCGCGUGAGGGAGGAAGGUACAGAGUAUCGUAAACCUCUUUUGUCAGGGAACAAAGACUGGGACGCGUCCCCGGAUGAGUGUACCUGAAGAAAAAGCAUCGGCUAACUCCGUGCCAGCAGCCGCGGCAAUACGGAGGAUGCGAGCGUUAUCCGGAUUUAUUGGGUUUAAAGGGUGCGCAGGCGGCCUGUUAAGUCAGCGGUAAAAGCCCGGGGCUCAACCCCGGCGAGCCGUUGAAACUGGCGGGCUGGAGUUGGAGAGAAGUACGCGGAAUGCGCGGUGUAGCGGUGAAAUGCUUAGAUAUCGCGCAGAACCCCGAUUGCGAAGGCAGCGUACCGGCUCCACACUGACGCUGAGGCACGAAAGCGUGGGUAUCGAACAGGAUUAGAUACCCUAGUA